AUCGCGUGUCCGAUACGCGCCGGACACGGAUACGCCGCGGAUACGGCGCCGAUACAUGUCCGCGGAGUAUUGGGAUAAAAAUAAAUGGCAAAUAAACGGAUACGCGGGCCGGACACGUAUCUGGACAUUUUUGGAUACGGCCCAGCCCACCUAAACAGCCCACGAAGCACUCAUCAAGUGCUGGCCUAGCCCGUCACGGCAGCCAGCAGCCAGCACUCACGGAGCAGCCAGCACUCGACGGAAGCAGCUAGCACGCAAGCGCCCGCCCGCCCGCAGCGUACGAGCGCCGCCGCUCGCCGUCGCCGGCGACGAGCCGCCGCCCGCCGGCGAGGAGGACUGUCGGCUACAAUCUCCGUUCUGUAGACCGUAGAUGGCUACAUCGAGCAAUGCUAGUGCUACUUGAUUAACCAACCAGCAUCAUCUUCUUGCUGUGAACGCAAUUGGAGUACAUAUAGCUUCAUACAUAGUGUCAAAAGAAAUGCCUUAACUCCAGAGAGGGCUGAAGAUUUGGUAUUUGUGCACUCAAAUCUGAGGCAUAUGUCAAGAAAAACAGAUGCAUACAAGACAGGAGAGACAAGAAUGUGGGAUGUGGGAGGAGAUUCUUUUGACACUAUGGCUGGUGUAGGUCUUCUUGAAGUGGCUGAACUCUCCCUUGAUGAGCCUGAAUUGCAAGCUGUGUCCUUUGGUCUUGAGAUUGUCAGCCUGGAAGAGAAUGAAGCACCUGUUGAGGAUGUAGAAGAAUAAACUAUGAAGCAUUGAACUCCAAGCUGUCAAGAAAAAUUAAACCAUGAAGCGCCUGUUAUGUAUUUGUAUUGACUGCUAUAAACUAUUUACCUAUGUUAAACAUCGAACCAUGAAGCACCUGUUAUGUAUU